rnacentral:rRNA from 1 species
CACGUAGGGCGCAAGCGUUGUCCGGAAUUAUUGGGCGUAAAGAGCUCGUAGGUGGUUUGUUACGUCCGCUGUGAAAUCCUAGGGCUUAACCCUGGGCUUGCAGUGGAUACGGGCAGACUAGAGGUAGGUAGGGGAGAAUGGAAUUCCCGGUGUAGCGGUGAAAUGCGCAGAUAUCAGGAAGAACACCCGUGGCGAAGGCGGCUCUCUGGAACGCAACUGACGCUGAGACGCGAAAGCGUGGGGAGCAAACAGG